UCAAACCAUGUGCGGCGAUAUUCAGCCAAC
rnacentral:sRNA from 1 species